rnacentral:rRNA from 1 species
AUUGAACGCUGGCGGCAGGCCUAACACAUGCAAGUCGAGCGAGCGGCGGACGGGUGAGUAAUGUAUGGGGAUCUGCCUAAUCGAGGGGGAUAACUAAUGGAAAAGGUGGCUAAUACCGCAUACUAUCGGCUGAACCCACAUGGGAUUAGCUAGUAGGUGGGGUAAAGCCUCACCUAGGCGACGCUCUCUAGCUGGUCUUAGAGGCUGAUCAGCCACACUGGGACUGAGACACGGCCCAGACUCCUACGGGAGGCAUCAGUGGGGAAUAUUGCACAAUGGGCGCAAGCCUGAUGCAGCCAUGCCGCUUGUAUGAAGAAGGCCUUAGGGUUGUAAAGUUCUUUCAGCGGGGAGGCGUUACCCGCAGAAGAAGCACCGGCUAACUCCGUGCCAGCAGCCGCGGUAAUUC